CAGUCAAACGGAACUGUUUUGAAAGAUUUCUUCGGAAUGAAUUUGAUUUAGUUUAGUGGCGGACGGGUGAGUAACGCGUGAGUAACCUGCCUUCAAGAGGGGGAUAACAUUCUGAAAAGAAUGCUAAUACCGCAUGACAUAUCGGAACCACAUGGUUCUGAUAUCAAAGAUUUUAUCGCUUGAAGAUGGACUCGCGUCCGAUUAGUUAGUUGGUGAGGUAACGGCUCACCAAGACCGCGAUCGGUAGCCGGACUGAGAGGUUGAACGGCCACAUUGGGACUGAGACACGGCCCAGACUCCUACGGGAGGCAGCAGUGGGGGAUAUUGCGCAAUGGGGGCAACCCUGACGCAGCAACGCCGCGUGAAGGAUGAAGGUUUUCGGAUUGUAAACUUCUUUUAUUAAGGACGAAAAUUGACGGUACUUAAUGAAUAAGCUCCGGCUAACUACGUGCCAGCAGCCGCGGUAAUACGUAGGGAGCAAGCGUUGUCCGGAUUUACUGGGUGUAAAGGGUGCGUAGGCGGCUUUGCAAGUCAGAUGUGAAAUCUAUGGGCUCAACCCAUAAACUGCAUUUGAAACUGUAGAGCUUGAGUGAAGUAGAGGCAGGCGGAAUUCCCCGUGUAGCGGUGAAAUGCGUAGAGAUGGGGAGGAACACCAGUGGCGAAGGCGGCCUGCUGGGCUUUAACUGACGCUGAGGCACGAAAGCGUGGGUAGCAAACAGGAUUAGAUACCCUGGUAGUCCACGCUGUAAACGAUGAUUACUAGGUGUGGGGGGUCUGACCCCUUCCGUGCCGGAGUUAACACAAUAAGU
rnacentral:rRNA from 1 species